UUAACAUGCAGUCGAACGGCAGCACGGGGGCAACCCUGGUGGCGAGUGGCGAACGGGUGAGUAAUACAUCGGAACGUGUCCUGUAGUGGGGGAUAGCCCGGCGAAAGCCGGAUUAAUACCGCAUACGAUCUACGGAAGAAAGCGGGGGAUCGCAAGACCUCGCGCUAUAGGGGCGGCCGAUGGCAGAUUAGCUAGUUGGUGGGGUAAAGGCCUACCAAGGCGACGAUCUGUAGCUGGUCUGAGAGGACGACCAGCCACACUGGGACUGAGACACGGCCCAGACUCCUACGGGAGGCAGCAGUGGGGAAUUUUGGACAAUGGGGGAAACCCUGAUCCAGCAAUGCCGCGUGUGUGAAGAAGGCCUUCGGGUUGUAAAGCACUUUUGUCCGGAAAGAAAACUUCUGCCCUAAUACGGUGGGAGGAUGACGGUACCGGAAGAAUAAGCACCGG
rnacentral:rRNA from 2 species